UGCCAGCCGCCGCGGUAAUACGGAGGGAGCUAGCGUUGUUCGGAAUUACUGGGCGUAAAGCGUGCGUAGGCGGAUCGACAAGUCAGAUGUGAAAUCCCGGGGCUCAACCUCGGAACUGCCUCCGAUACUGGCAGCCUAGAGAUCUGGAGAGGCGAGUGGAAUUCCGAGUGUAGAGGUGAAAUUCGUAGAUAUUCGGAGGAACACCAGUGGCGAAGGCGACCACCUGGUACAGUAUUGACGCUGAGAUGCGAAAGCGUGGGGAGCAAACAGGAUUAGAUA
rnacentral:rRNA from 1 species